CUGCAGCAUAUGGAAGUUCCCUGGCCAGGGGUCUAAUCGGAGCUGCAGGUGAGGUCUACGCAAGAGCCACGGCAACACUGGAUCCAAGCCACAUUUGCGACCUACACUGCAGCUUGUGGCAACACCAGAUCCUUAACCCACCGAGGGAGGCCAGGGAUCAAACCCACAUCCUCAGAGACAACGUCAGGUCUUUAACCUGCUGCAUCACAAAGGGAAUUCCAGUACUAUUUUCCAAAUAGGUGAAACAAGAUGAAGCAUGUCAAGCAUUUAGUAGGUGCUCAAUAAACAUUAAAACGUAUCUUAGUUGUUAUCACUUAUCUGCCCAGGUGGUAACAUUUUGGAUGAUAUUUAUUUAUUUAUUUAUGCUGUGUUCUUGCAAGGAUUCUAUCUUGUUUGGCCAAGAAGAACCACCCAAAGAAUUAUAUUUAGUACUCAGCCAUCCUUCUCUAGUAUGAGCUUGGCUCUCAGAUAGAAGGGAAACCCAGCUGGGGUCCUGACCCCUUCCAGCCACCUACCCUACCCCCCACCCCCCUUGCGCAUUCUAGAACCUGAGAUUUUCCAGGAUCAUUCUGCCUUGGGAAGCGCUGCUAAAGGAAACCUCCACCCUACCCCAAAAGCAGUAGUAUAUGAAGAUUCCAGAGCAUUCCAACCAGAGCCCGAGUCAGCCUCACAUAAGACUGGUUGCCCUCCCAUCACUCGGCCUCCAUGAUCCACCCCCUAAAAAUAGUUUCUGGGUACAAAUUUAGUACCACACCCCACAACAGCAGCCAGACUCAUCACACCCCAAUUUGGGAGAGCCAUUUAGAGAGAUACGAUGCUGUGGGUACUACAUGCAAUCUGGAGGAUCCAGGGGGACCCCCAAGACAUAGCAGUCAUCCUUCAGAGCAGCUAAGGUGGCUGCACAGGGCCUGGCGGAUGCCAGUGAGGGGCAAGCUGGCCUGGCACUGAGGUGUCAUGGACAAUGAGAGCAUGGUUUUCAAGAUCAGCCCCAGGAAGUUCCCAUCAUGGUUCAGCAGUAACAAACCUGACUAGUAUCCCUGAGGAUGUGGGUACAAUUCCUGGUCUCGUUCAGUGAGUUAAGGAUCCGGCAUUGCCAUGAGCUAUGGUGUAGGUGGCAGAUGCGGCUGUGGUAUAGGCCAGCAGCUGUAGCUCGGAUUCAACCCCUAGCCUGUGAAUUUCCAUAUGCCAUGGGUUCUGCCCUAAAAUGCCAAAAAGAAAAAAAAAAAUCAGCCUCAGAAGAAGGUUCUCAGGGUCAGACACUCCAAAUUACAGACGUUGAGGUGGUGAGGGAGUUGCCUCUCACAGGACAGCUGCAUACAGCACCAGCGGAACUUAUAAUAACUACUACCAUGGCUUCCUUUAAUUGAUCGCUUACUGUAUACUGAGUGUUUUCUCACAUGCUCGAAGGUGUGAGGCCAUGGUUAAACACACUCGUAAGCAGUGUGAAAGCAGACGGCAAGACAAUGGUAUUAACAGCAACAACCAAUUCGUGACUGUGAAACACACAACAAAUACUUAGCAUAGCAUUUGGCUCAGUCUGUGUUGUCUGAAAUGCACUAGGUUAUGAAGAGAGAUGGGGGGGUGCUGAACUCAUAGGUGGUGGCAGAGCUGGUGAAGCACAGCACUGCCUGCCCCCCAUGGAAGUCGCCAACCCCACCCUCACUUCUUUUUACUUUAUUUUUUUCUUUUGUCCUUUUAGGGCUGUACCUGUGGCAUAUGGAUGUUCCCAGGCUAGGGGUUGAAUCAGAGGUACAGCUGCCAGCCUAGGCCACAGCCACAGCAACGCCAGAUCUGAGCCGUGUCUGCAACCUACACUAUAGCUCAUGGCAACACUGGAUCCUUAACCCACUGAGCGAGGCAAGGGAUCGAACCCGAAACCACAUGGUUCCUGGUAGGAUUUGUUUCCACUGCACCACGACAGGAACUCCAUUUUUUUUUUUUUUUUUUUUUCUGAAAACCAGGCUCCGUUAACUGCCCUGCCUGAUGGCUCCCCACACUCCUUCCCUCACUCUGGCCCUCUGGGUCCCCACUGGUGUCAGGUGCCUUCCUAGUUACAGGCCUGUGUAGAGGUGGCCGGCUGCCUGUGUCCCUCUCCCCAGGGGUGGCUGAGCCCAUCCUUCUGACGCUACUGCUGCCAAGGGAGGAGGAAGAGGACUCUCGAUGCGCUUGUUCACAGGGGCCACCUUCAGCCCGCUGGGACCGGCCAGCGGCUUUCAUCUGGAUGGACGCCCGGGCCUCAGUGAGGACAGGAAGCAUCCCUGAGCGAUAAAGAUCAGGGCCGGCUUGUGAACAUGCCCGGUGCUUGAUGUGGGCCAAACCAGCUGCCCAACCCCUGUUCCUGGCAGUCCCUGCCAUGAAUCCUGCCUGGAGGAGUGGAAACUAAUCCAACUAGUAUCCAUGAGGUUGAGGGUUUGCUCCCUCGCCUCCUUCAGUGGGUUAAGGAUCCGGCCUUGCCAAGAGCUGUGGUGUAGGUCACAGACGCGGCUUGGAUCUGGAGUUGCUGUGGCUGUGGCGUAGGCUAGUAGCUACAGCUACAGCUUGACCCCUAACCUGGGAACCUGCAUUGCUGUGGGUGAGGUAUAGGCUGGCAGCUGUAGCUCUGAUUAGACCCCUAGCCUGGGAACCUCCAAAUGCCACAGGUACGGCCCUGAAAAAAAAAAAAAAAAAAAAAAA
rnacentral:lncRNA from 1 species